GCCCUGACUUGAAUUGACAAUGGUUAUCACAUCGAAAGUUUACAGGUGGUUUGUUCUGACUAUAAUUGACAAUGGUUAUCACAUCAAAAGUUUACAGGUGGUUUGUCCUGACUUGAAUUGACAAUGGUUAUCACAUCAAAAGUUUACAGGUGGUUUGUCCUGACUUGAAUUGACAAUGGUUAUCACAUCGAAAGUUUACAGGUGGUUUGUCCUGACUUGAAUUGACAAUGGUUAUCACAUCGAAAGUUUACAGGUGGUUUGUCCUGACUUGAAUUGACAAUGGUUAUCACAUCGAAAGUUUAACGGUGGUUUGUUCUGACUUGAAUUGACAAUGGUUAUCACAUCGAAAGUUUACAGGUGGUUUGUUCUGACUAUAAUUGACAAUGGUUAUCACAUCAAAAGUUUACAGGUGGUUUGUCCUGACUUGAAUUGACAAUGGUUAUCACAUCAAAAGUUUACAGGUGGUUUGUCCUGACUUGAAUUGACAAUGGUUAUCACAUCGAAAGUUUACAGGUGGUUUGUCCUGACUUGAAUUGACAAUGGUUAUCACAUCGAAAGUUUACAGGUGGUUUGUCCUGACUUGAAUUGACAAUGGUUAUCACAUCGAAAGUUUAACGGUGGUUUGUUCUGACUUGAAUUGACAAUGGUUAUCACAUCGAUAGUUAACGUUGGUUUGAACUAACUUAUAUUGACAAUGUUUAUUACAUCGAUUAUUUAAAAAAAAAAGAGAAGACAUGAAACCUAAAUCAAUAUUUAUAAGUUGUUUAGAUAUAAGUUAGAAACAGAAUUAUUGUAAGGUAGACGACAAAAAUGUUUUAGAAAUUAGCUAUUAUAUAUAAUAAUUAGCUAUAAAAUAUUACGCAUAUUGUUGGACAACUAUUUUGAAGGCUUGUAACUACAAAAAAUGGCAUUUAAUAAUAUCUAUAUGAUUUUCAGGUAACCUGUAAGUAAAAUAAUUCAUU